rnacentral:rRNA from 1 species
GAUGAACGCUAGCUACAGGCUUAACACAUGCAAGUCGAGGGGAAACGGCAUCGAAAGCUUGCUUUUGAUGGGCGUCGACCGACGCACGGGUGAGUAACGCGUAUCCAACCUGCCCAUCACUUGGGAAUAACCUUGCGAAAGUAAGACUAAUGCCCAAUGACAUUCCACGAAGGCAUCCGACUGGGAUUAAAAAUUUAUCGGUGAUGGAUGGGGUUGCGUCUGAUUAGCUUGUUGGCGGGGUGACGGCCCACCAAGGCAACGAUCAGUAGGGGUUCUGAGAGGGAGGGCCCCCACAGUGGAACUGAGACACGGUCCAAACUCAUACGGGAGGCAGGAGUGGGGUAUAUUGGUAAAUGGGCGAGAGCCUGAACCAGCCAAGUAGCGUGCAGUAUGACGGCCCUAUGGGUUGUAAACUGCUUUUAUAAGGGAAUAAAGUGGGUCACGUGUGACUGUUUGAAUGUACCUUAUGAAUAAGGACCGGCUAAUUCCGUG